rnacentral:rRNA from 1 species
GACGAACGCUGGCGGCGUGCUUAACACAUGCAAGUCGAACGAGACGAUUGAAAGCUUGCUUUUGAAAGUCGAGUGGCAAACGGGUGAGUAACGCGUAGACAACCUGCCUUUGAGAUGGGGACAACAGUUCGAAAGGACUGCUAAUACCGAAUGUUGUAUAUUUUCCACAUGGAAGAUAUAUUAAAGAUGGCCUCUAUUUAUAAGCUAUCGCUCAAAGAUGGGUCUGCGUCUGAUUAGCUGGUUGGUGGGGUAACGGCCUACCAAGGGGACGAUCAGUAGCCGGUCUGAGAGGAUGAACGGCCACAUUGGGACUGAGACACGGCCCAGACUCCUACGGGAGGCAGCAGUGGGGAAGCUUCCACAAUGGACGAAAGUCUGAUGGAGCAACGCCGCGUGAGUGAAGAAGGGUUUCGGCUCGUAAAGCUCUGUUGUCGGGGACGAAUGUGCAGUAUUUGAAUAAAGUACUGCAAUGACGGUACCUGACGAGGAAGCCACGGCUAACUACGUGCCAGCCGCCGCUGUAA